CCGAUUCAGAUGGUCCAGCAUUGUUUGUGACGCCUGCUAGUUUACUUGUGAUGGCUUCCAUUUUUUGAUCAAGCAUUUUCAGAUGCCUCAUCAUAUUUUCUUGGCGCCGUAAAACCUCGUUCAUUGUGGAGUGCAUCUUCGCUUCACUUUGAUCGUCUUCAUCAUGCCCGAACUCCAGUCGAGAUCUUCUUUCUAUACACAUAAUGUGUGCUAGAGAAAUUGGAUGCAGGUAUGUCCCGAUCAUUCUCAGCAAAACCUGUUUGCUGAUCCACAUCACUAGCUUCUUCAUCACCCGUUCCAUCAUCAUCUUCUCUGUUGUACUUUUGAGAUUUUACCCGGUGACAAUGAUGGUUUGGGAUGAUUAGAUUUCGAGCCAGCUUUUGACACGGAUUUGGCUGAAGAAUUGUCUGCAGAUUUGGCUGAAGAAUUGACUGCGGCUUUGACGGUGUUCCAUGAUGGUAAUUAUUCGAAACACCUGGCAAUGGAGAAACUGAUCUUUUUCUGUGAAAAGUGGCCCUGCCACUUGGAUUUGGUGGACGUUGACAGGCUUGAGCCUCACCAACGACGGGCCCGGAACUGCAAUUUUCAAAAUUAAUGGGCCUUCCCCUUCCACGGCCGAUCCCCACGUGAUUGCCGGGCUGCGAUCUUGUUUGCCGGGCAUCUCUUUUCAUAAGAUCUGUUGGUGUUUUUCGGGAGAUGGAUUGUUUGGAAUAUUCCUACGCUUUGGUUCAGAUUCCGGUGAAUACCUACUGGCUGGUUUCCUGCUGCGCUUUUCCACUUGGUUCCCACUCGGCAUGUUGGAAGUAUUGAUUUAUGGAACUAAAAAUCAACUGAAGUCUGAAGAGCAUAUGAUGGAAACUAAGGGGGUGUGAGUUGGGGGAGUAGUAUGCAGUAUGUAAGUAGGGUUGCCAGCUUAAUUAAUUAUUCCUGCAUCUUGUUUGCCGAGGGGCACUAAUUCCGCUUUUUAUAGUCGUUAGUGAAUUCAUUUUUAUUUAUUUGACAUUGGCAUGUUUUGCCCGACGAGUCUGACCAACACAAAGGUUUUUAUUUAUUGACGUGAUUUUGAAUGAUGAAUGUAGUUAUGCUAUGAAAUAUAGCAUAACAUAGUCUGACAAAAUCUAUGUUUUCAAGUGUGAUCUCUUUAACUUGAAUACAUUUAUUUAACUUUGAUCACGUUGUCAUUUUUUAACAGUUAGUCAUCAACAAAGAAGUUGAGGAACAUUUUAAAAAUGUGGGCAUAUACUCAUUUUGAAGCUCUGGGUCAUUUCUAUUUUCUUCCCUUGUCCUCUCAACAGUCAUCACGGUCUUAUCACGAUCUUUAACAGUUACCACCGAUCUUCUACUUCCAUAUCCGGAAACCGGAAGCUUUUCAACAAAUUAUAAAUAUUCUUUCGACCUUUAACAAUGUUUCCAUUUUGCCUUGACCAAGAUUUGAACCUUCAACCUUUCGAGUGCUGAGCUUAACUCUUAACCAUUAGCCUAACACUGACUUAUAUAAGAUGUCAUCUGGCUGCAUGGUAUUACACUGUAAUAUAUGAGAAAACAUUUAA
rnacentral:lncRNA from 1 species